rnacentral:rRNA from 1 species
AGUGAACGCUGGCGGCGUGCCUAAUACAUGCAAGUCGAACGGAGUGGCGCACGGGUGAGUAAUGUAUAGCUAAUCUGCCCUACACUAGAGGACAACAGUUGGCCACGGCUGCUAAUACUCUAUAGUGUAGGAUGAGGCUAUAUUGUAUCAGCUAGUUGGUGAGGUAAUGGCUCCCCAAGGCUAUGCCGCAUAACUGGUCUGAGAGGAUGAUCAGUAACACUGGAACGGAGACACGGUCCAGACUCCUACGGGAGGGAGCAGUAGGGGAUAUUACUCAAUGGGGGAAACCCUAGAGCAGCAACGGCGCGUGGAGGAUGACACUUUUCGGAGCGUAAACGCCUUUUGUUAGGGAAGCGGUACCUAACGAAUAAGCACCGGCUAACUCCGUGCCAGCAGCCGCGGUAAUUC